rnacentral:rRNA from 1 species
GGGGAAUAUUGGACAAUGGGGGCAACCCUGAUCCAGCAAUUCUGUGUGCACGAAGAAGGUUUUCGGAUUGUAAAGUGCUUUCAGCAGGGAAGAAAAAAAUGACGGUACCUGCAGAAGAAGCGACGGCUAAAUACGUGCCAGCAGCCGCGGUAAUACGUAUGUCGCGAGCGUUAUCCGGAAUUAUUGGGCAUAAAGGGCAUCUAGGCGGCCAGAUAAGUCUGGGGUGAAAACUUGCGGCUCAACCGCAAGCCUGCCCUGGAAACUAUGUGGCUAGAGUACUGGAGAGGUGGACGGAACUGCACGAGUAGAGGUGAAAUUCGUAGAUAUGUGCAGGAAUGCCGAUGAUGAAGAUAGUUCACUGGACGGUAACUGACGCUGAAGUGCGAAAGCUAGGGGAGCAAACAGGAUUAGAUACCCUGGUAGUCCUAGCUGUAAACGAUGAUUACUGGGUGUGGGCAUGAAGAGUGUCCGUGCCGAAGCUAAUGCGAUAAGUAAUCCGCCUGGGGAGUACGGCCGCAAGGCUG